rnacentral:tRNA from 1 species
UUAUGGCAGAAUAAUGUGAUAAAUUUAAAAUUUAAAUAUGAAUAUUCUUUUAGUA